rfam:Aedes aegypti strain Liverpool supercont1.288 genomic scaffold, whole genome shotgun sequence.
GGCUCGGUAGCUUAGUUGGUAAAGCGCUCGUCUAGCAUACAAGAGUCCUGGGUUCAAAUCCCAGCCGAACAC